rnacentral:lncRNA from 1 species
AUGAAUCUGAGUUGGCCAAAGCAAAUAGCACAUCCUGGGUCUCAGAACUCUGAGUUCCAUCCUUUGCUACUGGAUUUACUCUUAACCCCCAGGAAUUUUGAGGAAGCGGUUGUUGACUCACAUCCAGACCAGGGAAGGAAGGAGCUCCAAAGCAGGCUCUCGGCGUCUGCACGCAAGGUCCCGGGGGCUCCUGGCUGUCAGAUCUCGUGGCGGGCGGAGGCCGGCAAGGCGGGGAGGAGAGACCUGGAACAUCUCACCCCGCUGCUUUUCUGCAUGCAACAGGUCGGCUUGCAUCUGGAAUCUGAAAAGCGAGGAGCGCGGGAGACCGGGCGGCGGCCACGGUGGGCUUGGGGAGGUUGUGGCCAGAGACCGCGCACUCCGGGGUCUGGGGGUGCUGCGCAUCUCGGAUGUGGCGCCGGACCCAGCCAAACAGACGGCAGACCGGGUUUCAGCGUCGCCCGGCGGAGUGGGUACGAGAACUAAACGCCCCCACAGCUCCGAGCGGAUAGAGCACCCCCUUUGGAGCGCUGGGGUGCCAGGUUUAGGAGCCGCUUCCUGCUUUCCAGGCGCCCUUACCGUCUUCCCCGCACCGCUUCGUGAAUUUAGCGGCAGCUACGGCACCUUUGGCAGAUGCCAAGCCCGGUUGCCCCCGUUCGGCACCCCCAAGGCAGCCCCAGGCUCAUCCUGGGAACCCUCAGUCCGCUCUGCUGUUCCUCCAACCCCACACCCUUGCCCUGAGGCAGAGAACUGGACCGGGGAUCCUGGUGGGGAUUUUACCUGGCUUGGGUCGCCACGGCCUGGAAGAAAGAUCGCUGCUUUCCACUCCUCUCUGGAAGAAAGCCCCUCACCACCCCGCCGCCGGCUCCUCGCUUCUCCCCUAAGAGCUGCAUAUCUGGGUGCGGGGGUGCGGGUAGGAGUGGGGAGGACUCGGGAGGGAGCUGGAGCUUAAGGAAGAAAACCUGUGAAGCAUCCUUGAACACUUGCCUCUUUCCGGUAAUCGAUGCUGUCCGGAGCAGUGGCCGCUCCACCCGGGCGAGAGGCGGAUCCAGAAUCUCGGCAGGGUGCCCUCGGUGCCGACACGAUCGCUGCAGCUGCGGGGGCCGGGGGAGAAUAGCUGCUUUAAAGGCGAGACAGACCCAGAGGUAGCCAGUCAGCGCCGAGGACGCCCAUGACGUCAUCUAGAAGGCGAGCGGAGAAGGGAAGUUGGGGGUGUGGUCACCGCACUUCUCGUCAAAAGUCCGCUGUGGCCAUGGCAACAUCUCGCGGAGGUCGUGGGCCAGCAGCUCUCCGCCCUUUCCUGUCGAGCGACUGGGCUCCGGGAUUCCAAGCCCCUGUAUGGCUGAAUGCUAGAGGAGGGUUCCAAGCCAACUUUUCCCUAACAGGACAGGCACUAGAGCUAACCUCGAGUCCACCUCUCUGUUCUGGCCGCGGGUGAGGGCAAGAGAAGGGCUGCCUAACCCCCAGGAUACGCUGGAAGGAGGAUAACGCAGAAACUUGCAUUUCCACAGGGGCAUCUCCUAUAGCUUCACUUCCCCCAAAUCGCCCGCGCCUGAGCAGAUCAGACCCGGGUCACUGACCGCAUACAGAGACUACUUCUCCCUGAACUCAAAGAUGCAAACGCUUACCCUUCGUAUCCACUCUUCGAGGAUGCGCUGUGCCCAAGCCAGCACACCCAGGCAGCGCCUGCACGGAACCAUUUGCCCCAAUCCCCGCCUGUGUACGUGGGUAAACUGAGGCUCUGAGCUUACCUAAUUGGUCCGGAAAACAGCCUAACCCACGAGAAAACAGCCACGGAUCUAGGGUUCGCAAACUGGUGGCCAGCGGUCUAAAUGGGGGCACAGACGCGUUUACUGGGCUCUUAGAAUUUUAAAACAUGUGAAGUACUUGUCUUCAAGAUUGAAAAGGUUCACACAGAAAUCUGGGAUUUCUGUCUCUUAAACAGGGGGGCUGGCAUGGUGCAAGCCAUGAAAAAACAAUGACCCUGUAGUAAGGGCUGAAAUCCAGUCCAGCCUAGGCCCAU